AUUGAACGCUGGCGGCAGGCCUAACACAUGCAAGUCGAGGGACCGGCGCACGGGUGAGUAGCAGGUAACCAACCUGCCCUUUACUCGGGGAUAGCCUUAAGAAAGAAAGAUUAAUACCCGAUAUAAAGGAUGGGGAUGCGUUCCCUUAGGUUGUUGGUGAGGUAACGGCCCACCAAGCCUUCGAUGGAUAGGGGUUCUGAGAGGAAGGUCCCCCACAUUGGAACUGAGACACGGUCCAAACUGCUACGGGAGGCAGCAGUGAGGAAUAUUGGGCAAUGGGCGUUAGCCUGAACCAGCCAAGUAGCGUGAAGGAUGAAGGCUUAUGGGUCGUAAACUUCUUUUAUAUAAGAAGCUGUAUUAUAUGAAUAAGGAUCGGCUAACUCCGUGCCAGCAGCCGCGGUAAUUC
rnacentral:rRNA from 1 species